UGUAAAGUGUAGUGAAAAGAGCAUGGACUUAAGUUAGAACACCUGGUGUGUAAUUCUUGCUAGGCCACUACAGUAGUCAGCUUCCAAGAUGACCCCCAGUGAUCUUCACCCCCAGGUAUUCAAAUCCUCUUGUGAAGGAUUUGAACUCAUGAAGCAAUUGAAUUCAUGAAGACAGAGUAGAAUGACGGUUACUUCCAUUUAUCAAAAUUGAUCUGUGUUUCCCAUAGAAUACAUCAGAUAUAACUGUAUACCUCUUCUAAAAUUAGGUUACAAGUGACAUUUCAGGUUUUCUCUUUCUUCCUCUCCUCAUUCCCUUCCUCCUCUUCCUCUUUCUUUCUCUUUCUCUGUCUCAGAUCAUUUGCUUUGAGGAAAUCCAGCUGGCCACAUGGUGAGGCUUGGAGGCCACUGGCCAACAGCCACUUAGCGAUCUUGGAAUCAGAUGCUCCAGCCCAGUCAACCCUUCAGAUGGCUGCAGCCCUGACCGAUGUAUGAACUACAACCUUGUGGGAGACCGAGAACCAGAACUAAGAUGUUCCUGGAGGCCUGACCCUCAAAAAAUUUUGGAGAAACGUUCCCAUACUCUGAUUUUCUUAUUCUGAAAAUGUCUGGGGAAGAAUUGUGCCAACAGUUAAAGAUAAUGUAAGUAAUUAUUACUAUAAUUAUUAUCAUCAGGAUAAUCCUAGCUAAUGUCUGCAGUCCCUCAGUUACUCUUUGAGAAUGCAAACAUCCUCUUGACAAUACCUAUAGCCAUCCACUAAGAAGGCAAUUUUCUUCUAAGUCUUGUUCUCUUUAUGUCUGUCCUACAUGCCUAUGGAUAAGCAAUAUUUCCACACUUCAUAAAUUCCUCCAAUGAAAAUAAGUAAUGUGUGUCAUUAUCUCCCAUGAAAACGGUCAAUCAUUCCUGAUCCCAUCAGUGUUGAGUGUUGAAGUUGCUUUGAGCCAUGAUAUUUCAAAAAGAAAUACUAUUUAUUUAGUUUUACACAUUUUAUUUUUUGAAAAGGAUCAAGUCUUAGUGAAUCCAAUGGGACUGAGUUUAGCUUUCCUUUUGGUAAAGCACAGGCUUGAAUCGCUGGAGUAACACACGUGAGUUGCCAUCAAAUCAGUCCAAAUCAGUCCAAAUCAGUCUUUCGGUUAGAGCCCAUAUGUAGGUGCCAGUGUUGUGCCGUGAGCAUAGACAGGUUGGUGCCUGGGAGACUUCUCAUCCUCUUU
rnacentral:lncRNA from 1 species